rnacentral:rRNA from 1 species
CCUACGGGAGGCAGCAGUGGGGAAUAUUGCACAAUGGGGGAAACCCUGAUGCAGCGACGCCGCGUGAGUGAAGAAGUAUUUCGGUAUGUAAAGCUCUAUCAGCAGGGAAGAAAAUGACGGUACCUGAUUAAGAAGCCCCGUCUAACUACGUGCCAGCACCCGCGGUAAUACGUAGGGGGCAAGCGUUAUCCGGAUUUACUGGGCGUAAAGGGAGCGUAGACGGCAGCACAAGUCUGGAGUGAAAUGCCGGGGCUUAACCCCGGAACUGCUUUGGAAACUGUGCAGCUGGAGUGCAGGAGAGGUAAGUGGAAUUCCUAGUGUAGCGGUGAAAUGCGUAGAUAUUAGGAGGAACACCAGUGGCGAAGGCGGCUUACUGGACUGUAACUGACGUUGAGGCUCGAAAGCGUGGGGAGCAAACAGGAUUAGAUACCCUUGUAGUC